rnacentral:rRNA from 1 species
GGGGGGGGGGGGGGGCGGGGUGGGGGCGUGGGGGGCGGGCGGGGGGGGCCUGCUGGGGGGGGAUGCGGGAGGGGCGGACGGGGGAGUACCACGUGAUUAAGCUGCCCGUGACGUUGGGCUGCCUUCCGGACACUUGUGCUCCUCCCGGAUAGCCGCUCCUGCUGCAUCGUGGAGGUUGCAACGUUUCGGCGGUUGGGGAUGGACUCGCGCCCUAUCAGCUUGUUGGUGGGGUAGUGGCUUACCAAGGCUUUGACGGGUAGCAGGCCUGAGAGGUUGACCGGCCACAUUGGGACUGAGAUACGGCCCAGACUCCUACGGGAGGCAGCAGUGGGGAAUAGUGCACAAUGGGCGGAAGCCUGAUGCAGCAACGCCGCGUGCGGGAUGACGGCCUUCGGGUUGUAAACCGCUUUCGCCUGUGACGAAGCGUGAGUGACGGUAAUGGGUAAAGAAGCACCGGCUAACUACGUG